GACAGAGGAUGCAAGCGUUAUCCGGAAUGAUUGGGCGUAAAGCGUCUGUAGGUGGCUUCUUAAGUCCGCUGUCAAAUCCCAGGGCUUAACCCUGGCCAGGCGGUGGAGACUACUAAGCUCGAGUUCGGUAGGGGAGACUGGAAUUCCUGGUGUAGCGGUGGAAUGCGUAGAGAUCCGGAAGAACACCAGUGGCGAAGGCGGCCCGCUGGGCAGUGGCUGACGCUGAGGCGCGACAGCGUGGGGAGCAAACAGG
rnacentral:rRNA from 1 species